UAAUUCUGCUUUCCCUUCAGAUCGCAUAAAUCUUUCGCCUUUUACUAAACAUAUCCGUGGAGGGGAACAACACAAUGAGUCUAUAGAACAAUUUUUUUUUUGCUCUGUCUUAGUAGCGCG